UAUAAAAGGAACGAGAACUGGCUAGAAAUUUAGGCGGAGGUUUGAAACGAAGGUCUAAAUUGGACAACUUUUGUAAGAAUUACCAAACUAGAAGUAUCAUAUCGUAAGUUCAAGGUGUGCAAAAACGAACCUGCUAAAUUGUUUACAGCGAAAACUAACAGCUGCUGGUUUAUCUUUGUUUGGCCUACGCAUUCCACCAUGCUGAGUUCAUAAGCGUGUUAAGGACAACCUGAUGUAGGUGUGUCUGUAAGGCUAAUCCACUCUUCUUCCUCUGAAUAUUAUUAGACACAUGAAGGUUUAGCUACUGGCCCAGGAUGCAGUUUGUUUCUUAGAUAACUGUACAAAAGGAUUAAGCACAGAGCUACACAAUGGACUAUCUGUGCUCUGCCUACCACGGGUAUCGAAACUCGGUUUAUAGCGUUGUAAGUCUGCAGACAUACCGCUGUGCCACUGGGCCUUUAUUUGUAUCAGAUGUAUGUUAAAAAUGGUUAUUAUUUUCUACUUUGACACGAGAAGGUCAAGCACUGAUCUUAUCCGAAAUUUAAGAUACGAUUGGCUUCUCGUAUCAACAUCAAGUCCUUGUUAGCUUUCUAUGUGUUAAAUGGUGUUGGAAACGAUAACAAUAAAUAUCAUUCUCUUGAAA